rnacentral:lncRNA from 1 species
CAUCCCUGUCUGUCUAGAUGCAGAGAACCCAAAGCCCUGCAGGAUGGCAAAGCUGCAACAUGGAAGUCACCCGGAUCACCACGUAAAGGAAAUCUCUCCAACCAGGAACAAACACCUGCCUUGCAAUAUUAGGUGGCCACCAGACUUUCUCUGCUUGUAUCCUCCCAGGACCACAGAACUCAUCGCAUCCCAAGGCAGCCUAUUCCAUCAUGGAUGAGCUCAAAGUGUUUGAAAGUUCUGCUUUAUCAAGUGAGCCAAACUUCCUCCCUCAGGACCAUCCACUCCAGGGCCCAGUUAUUCUACUGGAGGAGUGAGGGUAAAGCCAUCACCAGGACAACCUUGGUGACAGGCUGGACUGGC